ACGUGCUCGCUACUAUUUACAUCCAUCAGUUUUAUUUAGCACGAAUUUUUGGAGGGAAGUGAAGCAGAAUCAUGGUACUAAAGAAAUUAUAUUUACAAACGCAUGUUACUGCUUUGUGUACCGUUGAACCUCAUUUUUUAUUAGAAGGUUGCGGAGGCUUUAUAAACCUUUAUGACUUCGACUCUAACGAGCUUUUGGAAAGCCUCGACAUAUUUCGAGGUGCCAGAAUUCAUGGUAUUCGAUAUUCACUGCAUAAUAAAACAGUGAUUGUUUUCGGUGGAAAGCUGUUUGCACUGGUGUCAUUCAACGAUUCUAAAACUGCUCUACCGAGAUUGAAACUUUUACAGAAAUCCAAUGAAGCUGACUGGAUAAGGGAUGCUAAAUUUGUAAAUAAUGGGGAUUAUCUUGUCAAAUUAACUUCUCACAACAAAGUUAUCAUCGAAAAAACGUCUUCUGAAGCAGAAACUGUUGAAGUACAAGGAGAUGAACAGUGCAUAUUAUACUGUGGCAAAAUUCUGGGCGAAGAUCUUUCACAGUUGACCAUUCUGGCAGGGACUGUAUUUGGCAACAUCCUUGUUUGGGCAGCCUCACCAUCUCAACAGAAUAAAUGUCUCUUCCACAGAUUAACUGGUCACAAUGGUGUCAUCUUCUCUAUAAAUUAUGACGAAGUUUCGCACACUAUCAUAUCAACGUCAGACGAUAGAUCUGUUCGUUUUUGGAGUCUCCAAUGCGAAGACGAAGUGCCAAACAAAUUGAGCCUCUGGAGUUUAUUUCAACGAUCGAAAAUUCAUCCCCAAAACGAACUUUAUGGUCAUGAAGCCCGUGUUUGGAACAGUGUCAUAAUCCGUCAAAAUCAGUGUGAUUCGGGACUGGUAGCCAGUUUGGGUGAAGACUCCCGUAUUUGUUUGUGGGAUUUGACGAGCGGCAAAUUGGUAUCCAAGUUUGAUGCUCACCCUGGAACCAGUGUAUGGGCUGCCGUGUGGGAUUCACGACUCCAAUUAUUGGUAACUGCUGGAGGAGAAGGUUCGACACGAAUCUGGAACGCCAAUCAUUUACAGGAAACGAGCUGUCGUCAGCUCCAGCUCACCGAAGACGGCCAAGUUCCACGUUUAGUGAUCGUUACAUCCACGGGUUACUACCGCCACUUGGUGGCCAGUCAGCUGGGCAUCAUUUACGGAUGGGAUAGUCACGCCCAGAUUUGGGUCUCCCUCUUUCAGGACGAGGGACUCGGCAACGGCAGCGUCUUGGAUUCCGACGGUCGGACGAUUAUAUUUGGAACGCGUACCGGAGCUGUGUUCGUGUUCGCUUCCGGCCCGUCGUCCUUGGAACUGCUGGCGACCCAUCAGCUGGAAAAGACGAAAAUUUAUAGCCUGCAUUUGGUCGCAUCGCAGCAGCAAGAGUUUAUGGCCUGUCUCGAUAACGGUCGUCUGCUGCUUAUGAAUGUACUCGGCGGCAGCGAGUCACCACCCAGGGCCCAAUUUAUUCUCCCCGACGGCAAACAGCGAUGGCCCAGCUGUGUUCUGGCCACCCAAAAUCGAUUCAUGAUGGGCGAUCGUGAAGGGAGCUUUCAUCUUUAUUCGACCGAAAAAGAGACUCCGCUUCAAUCUUUUUCGCAUAUCCAUGGCAAGAAUGGCUUGACUGACAUUCAGAGCGAUCCGAACGGCCAACAUCUUUAUUACACCGGAGGAAGAGACGGUCGAAUCGGUCUCUGGCGGUUAACCGACGACCAGAAUCAACUGGAACUUUUGUCACUUACUAACACCAGUCUCGGUUGGAUUGCCGGCUUGCGAUGGAUCGACCAGCAGUUAACAUACCUGGCCUUUCAGAGCGAUCGGUUCGUUGUGUGGUCGAGUGAGCAACAGCGGAGUCUCAUGCAAGUGCCUUGCGGGGGAGGCCACCGAUCAUGGGACUUUGACGUGACGUCGUCUGAUGUCACUUUCCUGUUCAUCAAGGACAGACACAUUUACGAGAAUCGACGUCCAUUGAGCGCCGUUUUCAACUCGUCGCUGCCUGGACGCUGCGGAGGGCACAGCAAAUCGAUUUGCCGUGGCAGGUUCGUCGGAUUCCACGACGACUCGCCGCUCGUCUUGACUGGAAGUGAAGACACGACGAUGAGACUGUCGCGAUUGGAUCGGCGUUCCGCCCAAUCGCUGACCGUCAUAACCAAACACGUUUCCAGCGUCCGAGCCCUGGCCGUCAAGGAACUGGCAUGUAGGUCUGCAGGGACGUGGCUGUGUGUUUCAGCCGGCGGCAGAGCCCAGUUAUCGGUCGGAUUACUGACACUAUCUGGCCAGGGCGAUCAAGUGCACGUCAUUCACCGUGACGUGCGUUCGCAUUUCUUGCGCGGUUGGCUCCGCCGGGCGGCCACCAAUAAGCCCUGGAUUCACGGCAGCGAUCAGCUGUCGCUCAUCCCCGACCCUGAAACCCGCUACAUGGACGUCGAUGUGGUAGACCGUGGCGACAGCAAUUUCCAUAUUAUCGCCGCCUGCUCCGAUAGCUUUAUAAGGAUUUUUUAUCUAUCCCUGGAGGGUGGCCGGUUAGACUUGUUUCACGAACUCAACUUCCACAAUUGCUGCGUCUUGCUGGUCAAAGUGGUGGCCGAUCCGGAUGGCAAUACCAUCCUUUUCUCCGCCGGAACAGAUGGCCGGCUGGCUGUGUGGGACGUAACAGUUGUGGAAGAAGAUAAGGCCAUGGAUCCCUUGGACAGCCUGUCCAUUCAUCAAUCGGGCAUUAAUAGUUUGGACUGCCAAUGGAUCGACCUUAAUCGCAUGCUGGUUCUGACUGGGGGCGACGAUAACGCUCUGAUCUGCACCAAAGUGGAAAUCAGCUGCGAAAGGAAUUUACUGCGAUUAAUCGAUCAGCAAAAGCUGUUCCCCCACGCAGCCCAAAUCUCCGGAGUAGCUCUGCUGGGUCACAACUUGUGUUUAAGCGUGUCACUGGACCAGCGUCUGAUCCUCUGGAAGCGAGAGGACACUCGACUUAUGUGGCAGUCGGCCGUUUGCUGCGACGUCUCCGACAUUCAAGGGCUGCAUGUGUCCGCGGGUGCCACUAAAACUUUGUCCAAAGUCCUGGUUUAUGGUCAAGGUAUUCAAGUCUUUGAAGUGGACGACGACUCGUUAAACAUCGCCCACACGAUUUAGACUAUUCAUCUGUCGACCCGUUCUAACCAACUAAGUCGAACGUUCCAGGUCAUCUGAAUACUCGUUGGAAGCGUCGAAGAAACAAAGAAACAAAUCUCUAUCAAAAUUGUCUAGGACAGGAGAGCGAGCUACUGGUGGGGAAACCUUGGGAAACGGCUGUUGUUGUGCGCAGGAUCUCUUGCUGUGCCGUGUCUAAAAAUGAUGUGGCCCAUCAUCUUCGAGAGACUGUUUGGCACCACGAAGAAAA
rnacentral:misc_RNA from 1 species